rnacentral:misc_RNA from 1 species
UCCUCCGCUUAUUGAUAUGCUUAAGUUCAGCGGGUAUCCCUACCUGAUCCGAGGUCAACCUUAGAAAUGGGGUUGUUUUACGGCGUAGCCUCCCGAACACCCUUUAGCGAAUAGUUUCCACAACGCUUAGGGGACAGAAGACCCAGCCGGACGAUUUGAGGCACGCGGCGGACCGCGUUGCCCAAUACCAAGCGAGGCUUGAGUGGUGAAAUGACGCUCGAACAGGCAUGCCCCCCGGAAUACCAGGGGGCGCAAUGUGCGUUCAAAGAUUCGAUGAUUCACUGAAUUCUGCAAUUCACAUUACUUAUCGCAUUUCGCUGCGUUCUUCAUCGAUGCCAGAACCAAGAGAUCCGUUGUUAAAAGUUUUAAUUUAUUAAUUAAGUUUACUCAGACUGCAAAGUUACGCAAGAGUUUGAAGUGUCCACCCGGAGCCCCCGCCCGAAGGCAGGGUCGCCCCGGAGGCAACAGAGUCGGACAACAAAGGGUUAUGAAUAACCAGGCCGAAGCCCGGGCGUUCUUGUAAUGAUCCCUCCGCAGGUUCACCUACGGA